GCUAACGUAGCUUAAAUUUAAAGCA
rnacentral:tRNA from 1 species